GGGUUUUUAAACCUAAAGGCGAAACAAAAGUAAAAUUUGCUCCUUUUUAUAAGGGAGGAUAGCUUAGGGCUGGCUCGCACUCCCGGGGCGUCUUAUACUCAUUGCGAGUAAAGGCGCACCAAGAGCGUACACGUUGGGACCCGAAAGAUGGUGAACUAUGCAAGGCCAGGAUGAAGCCAGGGGAAACCCUGGUGGAGGUCCGUAGCGAUUCUGACGUGCAAAUCGAUCGUCAGAGUUUUGUAUAGGGGCGAAAGACCAAUCGAACUAUCUAGUAGCUGGUUCCCUCCGAAGUUUCCCUCAGGAUAGCUGGUGCUAAUGAUGACAAGAGUCUCAUCUGGUAAAGCGAAUGAUUAGAGGGCUUGGGGCCGAAACGACCUCAACCUAUUCUCAAACUUUAAAUGGAUGAGAGCCUUGGCUUGCUUAAAUA
rnacentral:rRNA from 1 species